UACGUAGGGUGCAAGCGUUGUCCGGAAUUAUUGGGCGUAAAGAGCUCGUAGGCGGUUCGUCGCGUCGGCUGUGAAAUCCCGAGGCUCAACCUCGGGUCUGCAGUCGAUACGGGCGGACUGGAGUUCGGCAGGGGAGACGUAGGAAUUCCUGGUGUAGCGGUGAAAUGCGCAGAUAUCAGGAGGAACACCGGUGGCGAAGGCGGGUCUCUGGGCCGAUGACUGACGUGAGGAGCGAAAGCGUGGGGAGCGAACAGG
rnacentral:rRNA from 1 species